ACCUGUGCAGUUCAACGAAUUUAAUCAACACCUGCCAGCCAAUCAGAAUCGAGUAUUCAGACAGACCAUGGCAUAAAGCGGUAUGUUCUUUUUUUUUUUAUCAGCUUCUGCAAGCGUGUAUGGCGUCUGGCUGUUGGAACCUCACUGUGACUUCAGAUAAGAACAAAGAUUAAAUUGUAAGAAGAGCUGCUUGUAAGAGCAUACAGUACAUCUGAAACUGCUGAGGCUGGGAAGGUUUUUGACUAUAUUUCCAACCAGAUCAGCUGCUAUAGAAGACAAACUGAAAUCUGAGUGCAGAGACAAGCAAAGGAAUACUGCAAAAUAUUGCACUUGUGCAAAAUAUUGUAUGCCAGGAUGACUAGGCUGUGCCCAGGUCUCCGGAACCUGCGACGACGCUCAGCUCCAUCGGCCCUCCAUCUACAUCUUGGCUCCUCCCUCCCUCCACUCCGGCGUGUAUUGUCAGCACUGGGAUGCUCUGGGUCUGUGCCAUGUGCCAAACUCCAAGCCACCAGGGCAUCAUCGUCAUCCUCCCAUCACCAUCCCUUCACCACACCCUGCCAUCAUCCCGCACCUUUGCCUCUCACCAUUCCUACACCAUCUCCUCGUCCACCUCCAAAACCCCCUCCAUCCCUCCCUAUUCUGUUGCUUGAACUUUAUCAUCUUCAGUCUUUGCACACACAUCUAUUCAC